UACGUAGGGUGCGAGCGUUGUCCGGAAUUACUGGGCGUAAAGAGCUCGUAGGUGGUUUGUCGCGUUGUUCGUGAAAACUCACAGCUUAACUGUGGGCGUGCGGGCGAUACGGGCAGACUAGAGUACUGCAGGGGAGACUGGAAUUCCUGGUGUAGCGGUGGAAUGCGCAGAUAUCAGGAGGAACACCGGUGGCGAAGGCGGGUCUCUGGGCCGAAACUGACGCUGGAGGAGCGAAAGCGUGGGGAGCAAACAGG
rnacentral:rRNA from 1 species